GAUCAAAUGUAGAAUUUAAACUCUUAACAUAAUACAUAACUGUAAAAAUAUUAAAAUUCACAAUACUCGUAACUUUAUUUAAGAGGACGCCACAUCUGCAUGCUUUGUCUCAGUCUCACAAAUGUAUAACAUUUAAAAUGAUCAUUACUCGCUUUAAAAUGUAAAUAUAAAAUAAAACCUGUCAUAGACUAAAUUAUAUUCAUGCUUAUAAAUUUGAUGGUAGAUUAAUUUACUCUAACUCUGUUAUUAAACAUAACAGAAUUUAAUGAAUCAUUCGGAACAUACAAUUUGUUAUAUUACGCAUUUGUAAGACAGGGAUAAGGCAUGCAGGUAUGAUGUCUUCUUCACUAUUAAUUUUACAGGUUGGACAUCAAAUUGAACGAGCCAUUUUGUCAAAUACUUGCCAUGGCAAAAUAUCAUUUUUCUCCCACUGAAUCAAACCAGUUAUUAUUAAAAGAAGUAUGUUCAUUGAAAAUUUUGAUCAAAGAAGUGGAUCAAAAAUCAUGGUAGAAAGGUUAUAUUGGAGACAAAAUAGGUUUUUUUCCAAAAGUUUAUGUACAAGAACACCCACUGUGUUCUUUAGAAAUAUCCAGUUUAAUCAGAAUAUAAUUUAGCUGCAAC